GUUGUAUGGUUAAGUGACUAAGCGUACACGGUGGAUGCCUUGGCAGUUGGAGGCGAUGAAGGACGUACUAACUUGCGAUAAGCCUAGUCAAGCCAGUAAGAGGCGCUUGAGACUAGGAUUUCCGAAUGGGGAAACCCACCUGCUUGCAGGUAUCGUUAACUGAAUACAUAGGUUAACGAGGCGAACGCGGAGAACUGAAACAUCUAAGUACCCGUAGGAAAAGAAAUCAACCGAGAUUCCGAAAGUAGCGGCGAGCGAAAUCGGACCAGCCCUUAAGCUUUAGUGUAGUUAGUGGAACAUGCUGGAAAGCAUGACGAAACAGGGUGAUAGUCCCGUACACAAAAACUUAUCUAAAGUGAAAUCGAGUAGGUCGGAGCACGUGAAACUUUGACUGAAUAUGGGGGGACCAUCCUCCAAGGCUAAAUACUCCCAACUGACCGAUAGUGAACCAGUACCGUGAGGGAAAGGCGAAAAGAACCCCUGUGAGGGGAGUGAAAUAGAACCUGAAACCGUGUACGUACAAGCAGUAGGAGCCUACUUGUUGGGUGACUGCGUACCUUUUGUAUAAUGGGUCAGCGACUUAUAUUCUGUAGCGAGGUUAACCAUU
rnacentral:rRNA from 1 species